rnacentral:rRNA from 1 species
GUGCCAGCCGCCGCGGUAACACGGAGGGAGCAAACGUUGUUCGGAAUCACUGGGCGUAAAGGGCGCGUAGGCGGCUUCUUGAGUCGAGGGUGAAAACCUAUGGCUUAACCAUAGGCCUGCCCCCGAAACUGGGGAGCUUGAGGCCGUAAGAGGAAAGCGGAAUUCCUGGUGUAUCGGUGAAAUGAGUUGAUAUCAGGAGGAACACCGGUGGCGAAGGCGGCUUUCUGGUGCGGUUCUGACGCUGAGGUGCGAAAGCAUGGGGAGCAAACGGGAUUAGAUACCCCGGUAGUCC